rnacentral:misc_RNA from 1 species
GAAAUGCGAUAAGUAAUGUGAAUUGCAGAAUUCAGUGAAUCAUCGAAUCUUUGAACGCACAUUGCGCCCUCCAGUAUUCUGGCGGGCAUGCCUGUCCGAGCGUCAUUUCAACCAUCAAGCCCCCGGGCUUGUGUUGGGGACCUGCGGCUGCCCGCAGGCCCUGAAAACCAGUGGCGGGCUCGCUGUCACACCGAGCGUAGUAGCAAUCACCUCGCUCAGGGCGUGCUGCGGGUUCCGGCCGUUAAACAGCCUUACAAAACCCAAGGUUGACCUCGGAUCAGGUAGGAAGACCCGCUGAACUUAAGC